rnacentral:piRNA from 1 species
AAUCCUAAAUGUAACACAUUUGCAGAAACC